GUUUUGAGGACUUGAUCACAGUUUGCAAAGAAAAAGUCAAGAAAGAAGAAUUUCUAAAGAUGAAGAAGAAACAAAGAGAAAACAAAAGGAAAAGUAUCUCGCAGUAUCAAGCGUUUACAUACGAAGAUGUCAAAACAACGAGCAGAAACCGCCGGGAGCCUCUUCAUGCUCAGCUCAUGCUCGGAGAUCCAGCGUGUGACCAGCCAUGCCAGGACGGAUAUCCCCCCUGUCAUCUGCGUGACGCCUUACCGAUACUGGCACCGCGUUAAAC